AUAAGUGGACUGGCGGCAGGGAAUGAAAGGGACAACAAAUCCAGUUGUUUGUGUCAACCGUUUCGGGAAAGUACCUGCUUAAUUGCACACCCAACUCACUCAGUUGCGGAGAGACCCUGUAAUCCUAGAUUCAGACCACUCAGGCGAGAAAAAACAUCACCCAGAUAGGCCAGUCGUGUGAGAAACUCGUCAUCAUGCAAGCGGUCAGACAACUGUUAGGCAUUCCCUUGGCAGCAAGAGCCUCUCAGUGCAUGAUGCAGUGUACCCAAGUGGCGUCGGGAGCAACUGCUUGCACGCGCGUUACCACUCCACUAUUUCUUCCUGUCAUGGCAUUUGCACCAUCAGUACAGAUACCAACACAUCUUGACCACCAAAGUCAAUUUGAUGUCACAAAGCUGUCCAGUACUUUAAAAAUAUCCUCUCCUGUUGUCCAGAAGAGGAUGUCUUCCGUAAUUGACCCCCCAUAAACGUAACGGACAUAUACCAGGAGCCAGCCCAGGCCCAUCACACCUGUUGACUCAUCCAGCUGUAAUGCAUAUAAUUAACUUGCUUGUAUGUGCAGCAGUAAUAGUUACAAAACCAUGUCACCGAUGCCUCCUGAAAGUGUUGUUUGAUGUCUCAAUCGUUUUUUGGCCUUUUCCCCCAGCCAUAUUUUUGUUUUUUUUAACCUUUUACCGGGGAUUCGAACUUGCAACCUUUACGGUUACUAGGUCAACGCUCUAACCACUAGGCUACCCUGCCGCGAGAGCAUGAAGCUUUAAGUCCCCCACAAUAGUAUGGGGCUUGCC